rnacentral:rRNA from 1 species
CACGUAGGGCGCAAGCGUUGUCCGGAAUUAUUGGGCGUAAAGAGCUCGUAGGUGGUUUGUUACGUCUGCUGUGAAAACCUCGGGCUUAACCCUGGGCUUGCAGUGGAUACGGGCAGACUAGAGGUAGGUAGGGGAGAAUGGAAUUCCUGGUGUAGCGGUGAAAUGCGCAGAUAUCAGGAGGAACACCGGUGGCGAAGGCGGUUCUCUGGGCCUUACCUGACACUGAGGAGCGAAAGCGUGGGGAGCGAACAGG